UUAUUUUUGCUUAAGUAAAAAUAUGUUGAAGUAGUGUUACUCUUACUUUAGUCAAAUUUUGGGGUACUCUGUGUAACAGAGAAAAAAGUGUGUGUGUAUGUAUGUAUAUGUGAAUUUUACCCAAAAUAAUAAUAAUAGUAUGUAUUUAUAAUGAGAUUUUUGAUCCGUGUGUUUGGAGCCACCUAGUGGUGUGAUGAGUGACUGCAUGCAACGGGUCCUUCAGGCGCUCUCUCGGCUUCCCCCGCCAGGAUUCUCAAGAGCGCUGGUGGAUGUGGGUGCGAGAGGCGCAGCUCUUCGCUAUUUUUCUUUUACUUAGGGUCAUAUUUUUCUAGUUCAACUAUUAACGAAAUACUAUAAGAUGAUUUAACAUUUACAAAUAUAAUUUGUAAAGUUUUCUCGUGUUUUGGGCUGGAAAACGUGCGCCAGUUGGUGGUUGUGGCUGACCGCUCAGUCAUGACGCUAAUUGUGUCUUUUGUUUUUCAGCUGCUGGGCCACUUGCGUGCAGUCAGAGUCACAUUGUUUCAAUUUGUAUCGCACUAGGUGACAAACAACCAAACACGGAAGGCUACAUCUGCCCACCUCUGAAAAUCACCCAGAAUCAACUCAGUAGUUUUUGUAACCCCUGUUGUUGGUAUAAUGGAU